UACAGAGGUCUCAAGCGUUGUUCGGAAUCACUGGGCGUAAAGCGUGCGUAGGCUGUUUCGUAAGUCGUGUGUGAAAGGCGCGGGCUCAACCCGCGGACGGCACAUGAUACUGCGAGACUAGAGUAAUGGAGGGGGAACCGGAAUUCUCGGUGUAGCAGUGAAAUGCGUAGAUAUCGAGAGGAACACCAGUGGCGAAGGCGACUUUCUGGACAGUAACUGACGUUGAGGCACGAAAGUGUGGGGAGCAAACAGG
rnacentral:rRNA from 1 species